AGAGUUUGAUCAUGGCUCAGAAUCAACGCUGGCGGCGUGCCUAACACAUGCAAGUCGAACGAGAAAGUGGAGCAAUCCAUGAGUACAGUGGCGACCGGGUGAGUAACACGUGACUAACCUGCCCUCGAGUGGGGAAUAACUCCGGGAAACCGGAGCUAAUACCGCAUAACAUCGCAAGAUCAAAGUCGAAAGACGCUUGAGGAGGGGGUCGCGGCUGAUUAGCUAGUUGGUAGGGUAACGGCCUACCAAGGCAAAGAUCGGUAUCCGGCCUGAGAGGGCGCACGGACACACUGGAACUGAAACACGGUCCAGACUCCUACGGGAGGCAGCAGUGGGGAAUUUUGCGCAAUGGGGGAAACCCUGACGCAGCAACGCCGCGUGGAGGAUGAAGUCCCUUGGGACGUAAACUCCUUUCGACCCGGACGAUACUGACGGUACGGGUGGAAGAAGCACCGGCUAACUCUGUGCCAGCAGCCGCGGUAAUACAGAGGGUGCCGAGCGUUUGUUCGGAAUUAUUGGGCGUAAAGGGCGCGUAAGCGGGGG
rnacentral:rRNA from 1 species